rnacentral:piRNA from 1 species
UCAUGAAAAAAUUCAUACUGGAG